AACCAGCACCUCAAGUGGUCAGGAUGAUUAUUGGGCCUAAAGCAUCCGUAGCCGGCUCUGUAAGUUUUCGGUUAAAUCUGUACGCUCAACGUACAGGCUGCCGGGAAUACUGCAUAGCUAGGGAGUGGGAGAGGUAGACGGUACUCGGUAGGAAGGGGUAAAAUCCUUUGAUCUAUUGAUGACCACCUGUGGCGAAGGCGGUCUACCAGAACACGUCCGACGGUGAGGGAUGAAAGCCAAACCGG
rnacentral:rRNA from 1 species